rnacentral:tRNA from 1 species
CCCUGGUGGUUCAAAUGGUAAAGAACCUGCCUGCCAUGCAGGAGACCCAGCUUCAAUCCCUGGGUCAGGAA